CGGAAUCAAUAACGGAUCUGAAUGACUUAGUCAUGAGGGCUCCUUACCAACCAGCUGAUAAAAAGGAGGAAUACCUUGCUAACACUGUGGACAAGGCCACAAACAGAUACUAUCCAGUCUAUGAGAAGGCUUUGAAGGACCAUGGACAAGGCUUCCUUGUGGGCAACCAGCUUAGCAGGGCAGAUGUGCAAUUACUUGAAAGCCUUUUAAUGGCAGAGGAGG